rnacentral:rRNA from 1 species
GGGUCAGUAGGUUGGUCGUGCGACCGGUACGUACUGGUCUCACUGAUUCCUCCUUCCUGAAGAACCGUAAUGCCAUUAAUUUGGUGUUGCGGGGAAACAGGACUGUUACUUUGAAAAAAUUAGAGUGUUUAAAGCAAGCUAACGCUUGAAUACAUUAGCAUGGAAUAAUGAAAUAGGACGAUCGAUCCUAUUUUGUUGGUUUCUAGGAUUGACGUA